rnacentral:rRNA from 1 species
GAUGAACGCUGGCGGCGUGCCUAAUACAUGCAAGUCGAGCGGACGGACGAGAAGCUUGCUUCUCUGAUGUUAGCGGCGGACGGGUGAGUAACACGUGGAUAACCUACCUAUAAGUCUGGGAUAACUUCGGGACACCGGCGCUAAUACCGGAUAAUAUUUUGAACCGCGUGGUUCAAAAGUGAAAGACGGUGUUGCUGUCUCUUAUAGAUGGUUACGCGCUGCAUUAGCUGGUUGUUAAGGUAACGGCUUACCAAGGCAAGCAUGCAUGACCGAACUCAGAGAGUGAUAGCCCACACUGGAGCUGAGCCGGGGACCAGGCUCCUGCGAGAGGGCGCAGUCGGGAAUGGUCCGCAAUGGGCGAGAGCCUGACGCAGCGGCCGGGCGCGUGUUGCGAAGGCCUCCGGUGCGUAAAGCUCGGUUACGGGUUAUGAACAGAUGUCUAAUGAACUGUGGAGUGCGUGACGGUAAUGAGUCAGGAAGCACCGGCUAACUACGUG